rnacentral:rRNA from 1 species
UCGGGAAUUUUGGGCAAUGGGCGAAAGCCUGACCCAGCAACGCCGCGUGAAGGGUGAAGUAUUUCGGUAUGUAAACUUCGAAAGAAUAGGAAGAAUAAAUGACGGUACUAUUUAUAAGGUCCGGCUAACUACGUGCCAGCAGCCGCGGUAAUACGUAGGGACCAAGCGUUGUUCGGAUUUACUGGGCGUAAAGGGCGCGUAGGCGGCAAUUCAAGUCAUCUGUGAAAUCUCCGGGCUUAACUCGGAACGGUCAGAUGAUACUGCUUUGCUAGAGUGCAGAAGGGGCAAUCGGAAUUCUUGGUGUAGCGGUGAAAUGCGUAGAUAUCAAGAGGAACACCUGAGGUGAAGACGGGUUGCUGGGCUGACACUGACGCUGAGGCGCGAAAGCCAGGGGAGCAAACGGGAUUAGAUACCCACGUAGUCCCUGAGCGGGCUGGCAAGGCGCAU